rnacentral:lncRNA from 1 species
CAGACUUCCAGGCACUUCCCCAUCAGAAACGCUCAGCUGCCCUUCACCCUUUGCUCCGGGAACCCAAACCCCCAAGGAACCCGCUCUCCCUCUCCUCCCCAUGGAAGCCACCACGACCCAGCUCACUGUCCCUUGGUCCCCAGUGGGCGCGGCUCCAGCCUCCUGUCUCUGGAGCCAGCCUCCUUCUCAUCCUGAAGAUCCUGCAGCCUGAUGAACUCUGAAACGCCUCAAGUCCCAGUUGCACAGAUUACCAGCCACGUGGCCCCCAAUUCCCCAAGCCGUCUGCACCGUGGUCUUUUCAUCCAAAGUCUGCUGAUAACCACGCCUACACUUCAUAGGGCUGCUGGGGAGGACCAUGCUGUAAACCACAGGCUAGUUGUCGGGCCCAGGUCUCUCCGGGUGUGUGCGGGGGGGUCUCUACCAGUGUAAGCAAUCCGAGGAAGCGUGUUGGUUCAUACCGGUGGCUGACACAUCGCACGGUGGGAGGAGUGACCGAUCGCCCUCCAGGAUGGCCAACCCAUCAACAGGGUCCCGGGGCUCCUGGAGACAACCGGCCAAUGCCGUGUGCAUGUAAGAGGGUCAGGAGAGGAGUGGGUCCAGGAUUGGGGUGCCCAGCCUGGAUGGCACUCUCGGCUCUGCUUCCGGCCCAGCCACCAGAGGCGAAGAAGGCAGAGCAUGGACCUUGAGCACGUGAGCUGUGAUUAUUUCCUGCUUCUUUCAGUUCCUUCUUCCCUUCAUCUCCCGGCCAACUUCCCUACGCCCUCGCUCAGGCUGCGCGAUGGGGUUCGAGGCCCUGCCUUGACCUGUGGACUCUCAUUCUUCCCUCCCCAGGGCCUGUGCUGUCCUGUCGUGGUAGGAGCCAUUGACUCAGUGGGGCGGGGGGUGGGGGGGAGUUCGGGGCAGAACCUGGCAGCAAGGUGGUCACUGUCCUCCGCAGGCUGUUUGUAAAGGGGGUGGGGUGGUCCUGGGAGCGCGGCCGGCCGUGAAGACGGACGCCAGGCCACACAAGCCGCGCGACUCCCUCCCCAUCACCCUGCCGCCCCAGUCCAGCGCUUCUCAGUGGGGGUGGCGUUGGCCCCCAGGGGGACGUCUGGCAGCGUCUGGAGACAUUUCUGUCACAACCAAGGGGGGUGCUACUGGCAUCGGGUGGGCGGAGGCUGGCGGGGCAACGCCUCAUCCUACAACCCAGAAUGAGCGGGCUCUGCGUGGGCCUCCGACCACUUGGGUUCCAGACGCUCUGGGGAAGCGGACCAAGGCUCCGAGCCCUCUCCCCUGAGAAGAGUGCACAUGCGCAUGCGCAGUUACUACACUUUACAACAGGAUCUCUGGAAGUGCUUGUAACCCCCCGCCCCGUGGUUGUCCGUCCAUCCAUCCCGGAGGAGAUUCCGGCUCUGCUGUGCUGCUGGUCUAGACGCCACAGUGAGGCACCUGCACUGCAGUCUGCCCUCCGCGCCCUCCUCGCCUUCCUC